CACACACACAACAAACAAGAGUAAAUUAAGACUCCCUCCACAGGCUAAUAGCACCAGCUGCUUUCCAUUGCUCUAAGGAGUGAUUCUACUGCGGCAACGAGUCCAAAUACAACGAAAGUAUUGAUGCUGCAAAAGAAGACGGAUCUUUUGGUAGGCUGCUUAAUGAUGACCACAAGCACCCAAAUGGCAGAAUGCAGAAGACUGAAGUGGAUGGAAGCCCACAUCUUGGUCUGUUUGCUUUAACAGACUUUAAAGAAGGUGAUGAAAUUACCUACAAUUACGGAGGAGGAGACUGGCCUUGGUGUAGCAAGAUUAUGGAGGAGGACACUGCUGAGAGCAAUGGCCAGGAGAAACAGCAGCCAUCACAGUCUACACCUUUUCUGGAUCAUAAAUAUCAGAAUUGUGUAGUUUGCUGGCACUUUUAAUCCUGCCUUUCAAUCACACCUCUCCAUAAUUUCCAACAUAAGCAUCCCCUGGGACUCAGUAGGUUCCCUACUGCAUCUUCUCCAAGAAAACCGAGUACUCUUAGUUACUAUUUGGUACAUAUGCACAAACUGCAGUCAGAGUUUUCAUUCUUGAGACGUGAAAUGUAAGUUCCAGUCUGUAAGUUGCCAGACAAUAAUUUCUGUUGGGUGUAAGGGUGUGUGUUUGCUAUGUAACUAAUGUUUAUUCUUACAUUUAGGUAAAACAUCUGCUCUGAUAAAGAGGAGGCUCGGAAAGGAAAUGAGGUCCAUGCAGUGGAGAGACAUAUGAAGACCUUCAUCAUGUCAUGUCGUGUCCCAGGGAAGUUGGCCUGUGAAAACUGCAUUAGAUCUGAGUCUUUAUAUCUUAAAGAUAGAGACUGGCAAAGUGUCAAAUUCUAUGUCUAUAACUGCACUGUAGCUUACAAAAGAGAUAUAAACAAAGAUUAAAUAACACUUUGAUAGUAACACUGUACAUCUAUAUUACAGAUACUGUACAUCAUAACAUCUGUAGUAAUGCUUUAAUAAUAAGUUACAUUACACCUCUAGCCUUUUACUUUGUAAUGAACCGGUCAGCAUUUACUUCAUAAUAAACUAAUCAGGAACAAAUCAGGCAUUUAAUUCAAUUCAAUUCAAUUCAAUUCAAUUUUAUUUGUAUAGCGCUUUUUACAAUAGACAUUGUCUCAAAGCAGCUUUACAGAAAUAUCAACAUGGUAUACAGAUAUUAAAAGUGCGAAUUUAUCCCAAC